UUCAGUUUGAGGUUCAGUUUGAGGUUCAGUUUGAGGUUCAGUUUGAGGUUUAGUUUGAGGUUCAGUUUGAGGUUCAGUUUGAGGUUCAGUUUGUGUUUGAGGUUCAGAUUGAGGUUCAGUUUGAGGUUCAGAUUGAGGUUCAGUCUGAGGUUGUACUUGAGUUUUGUCUUGGUGUUUGUGAGUGUCCAUCCUCCUCUCCCCCCUCCUGCUCCUCCAGCCUGCAGCAGAGGAACGCUGAGCUGACCUCCUCCCUGGAAGAAGAGCGCCGCCGUGUGGCCGCCCUGGAGGCGUGUCUGAGGAGCGCUGGCCGCAGCCACGACCAACCCCCCCCCGACCAGAACACAAUACUGUGACACAUCACCCAGCGGCCAACUUGGAUGGCCAUCUCGGGCGGCCAUCUUGAAUGGCCAUCUCGGGCAGCCAUCUUGGAUGGCCAUCUCGGGCGGCCAUCUUGGAUGGCCAUCUCGGGCGGCCAUCUCGGUGCUCAACGGUACCUGGGUGGAGGAAAUCAAAGCAGAACACAUCCAGUUAGCUCCACCCAGCUCCACGUAGAACCAAGAUGGCCGCCUGUCAGGGAUGGCUCGUUCUCACGGGAACCUGAACGCCGUUCUUUAAAACACAAUUACAAUUACAAUUAGGGCAUUUAGCAGACGCUUUUAUCCAAAGCGACUGACAUCGGUUAAUACACACAUUGACACACCGACGGUCAGAGUCAACCAUGCAAGGCGACAGCCAGCUCGUCAGAAGCAGUUAGGGUUAAGUGUCUCGCUCAGGGACACAUCAACACUCAGCUAGGAGGAGCUGGGGAUCGAACCAGCAACUAGCUCUCCUCCUGAGCUAAGCCCGACCCCCCCGACCCCUCCACACGGUUGCUGAGUUACGAGUGCGUGUAAGGCCUGUAUUGCCCAAUGUUUAUCAUGUUAUUUUUAUUAUUAUGUUAAGAGAUUCACAUUGAGGACCACCACUGUUUUAUCACCUUGCUCACAGACAGACUAUGCUUUUCCUCAGCAUCUUAAAAUAUUUUAGUAUCGAAUGUAUCAAAAUUACAGUAUCGAAUGUCAAGUAAUUUAAAAUGUUUUGUGCCAUGAAUAAAGUUCAACAAACCUCUUUAACCACUGAAAGCUGCGGGAUCCAUGUCCACAUACUGGGCUGCCCUCUCCCAGGUCCUCAUAAGACGUACCAGUGUUGGUGUGGGGGGUCAAAGGUCGAAUGGCGUUCUGUGAUGUCAUGUUAUUGUUUCUUCUAGUAGAGUACAGUUUCUGUCUGGGA
ensembl:lncRNA